GACGAACCGUGCGAACGUUGUUCGGAAUCACUGGGUUUAAAGGGCGCGUAGGCGGGCUGUCAAGUCGGUGGUGAAAUCUUUCGGCUCAACCGGAAAAUUACCUUCGAUACUGGCGGCCUGGAGGGAGGUAGGGGCAUGCGGAACUUCCGGUGGAGCGGUGAAAUGCGUAGAUAUCGGAAGGAACACCGAUGGCGAAAGCAGCGUGCUGGACCUUUUCUGACGCUGAGGCGCGAAAGCCAGGGGAGCAAGCGGG
rnacentral:rRNA from 1 species